rnacentral:rRNA from 1 species
AGACCCGAAACCCGGUGAUCUAGCCAUGGGCAGGUUGAAGGUUGGGUAACACUAACUGGAGGACCGAACCGACUAAUGUUGAAAAAUUAGCGGAUGACCUGUGGCUGGGGGUGAAAGGCCAAUCAAACCGGGAGAUAGCUGGUUCUCCCCGAAAGCUAUUUAGGUAGCGCCUCGUGAAUUCAUCUCCGGGGGUAGAGCACUGUUUCGGCUAGGGGGCCAUCCCGGCUUACCAACCCGAUGCAAACUGCGAAUACCGGAGAAUGUUAUCACGGGAGACACACGGCGGGUGCUAACGUCCGUCGUGAAGAGGGAAACAACCCAGACCGCCAGCUAAGGUCCCAAAGUCAUGGUUAAGUGGGAAACGAUGUGGGAAGGCCCAGACAGCCAGGAUGUUGGCUUAGAAGCAGCCAUCAUUUAAAGAAAGCGUAAUAGCUCACUGGUCGAGUCGGCCUGCGCGGAAGAUGUAACGGGGCUAAACCAUGCACCGAAGCUGCGGCAGCGAACGUAUCACCCAAGACAACUUUGCGGAGUUGACGAUUGACGGAGCGAAGCGACGUCAAAGCGUUCAUUAAAGUCGAGUUGGCUUAGGGAUACGUUCGUUGGGUAGGGGAGCGUUCUGUAAGCCUGUGAAGGUGGCCUGUGAGGGUUGCUGGAGGUAUCA